UACGGAGGGAGCUAGCGUUGUUCGGAAUUACUGGGCGUAAAGCGCACGUAGGCGGCUUUGUAAGUUAGAGGUGAAAGCCCGGGGGCUCAACUCCGGAACUGCCUUUAAGACUGCAUCGCUUGAAUCCAGGAGAGGUGAGUGGAAUUCCGAGUGUAGAGGUGAAAUUCGUAGAUAUUCGGAAGAAACACCAGUGGCGAAGGCGGCUCACUGGACUGGUAUUGACGCUGAGGGUGCGAAAAGCGUGGGGGAGCAAACAGGG
rnacentral:rRNA from 1 species